AGUACAANGUUGGUAAUCUACCNUCGUCUCAAGCANAACCCUACUAACGUGGGGANAAUUCUUGAUAGACANGGGGGGACAAAAGUCACCCCCGCGNNNNGNCNUAGCGGACCAAGAAGAACCUGCACACGAUUAGCNUGUUGGUAGGGUAAUGGCCUACCAAGGCAAUGAUCGUUAGGGGGCCCGAGAGGGUGAUCCCCCACACUGAAACUGAAAACAGUUCAGACUCCUACGGGAGGCUGCAGUUAAGAAUAUUUCACAAUGCCCGAACAGGGGUGAUGAAGCGACUCCGCGUGACCGAAGAAGCCCCUCGGGGUGUAAAGGUCUUUUGUUAGGGAAGAAUAAAUGACGGUACCUAACGAAUAAGCUCCGGCUAAACUCGUGCCAGCAGCCGCGGUCAUACGAGUGGGAGCAAGCGUUAUCCGGACUGAUUGGGCGUAAAGCGUCCGCAGGUUUUUAUUUAAGUUUCUGGUUAAAUCUCCUAGCUUAACUGGGAGUCAGUCAGAAAAACUGGGUAAAUAGAGGAAAGAAGGGGUAGAUGGAACUCAUGGUGUAGUAGUGACAUGCGUUAAUAUCAUGAGGAACACCCAAAGCGAAGGCAUUCUACUGGUCUUUUCCUGACACUAAUGGACGAAAGCGUGGGGAGCGAAGAGAGUUAGAUAUUCUCGUAGUCCACGCCGUAAACGAUGGAUACUAGGCAUUGGGCGUUUCGACCCGUUCAGUGUCGUAAGCUAACGCGUUAAGUAUCCCGCCUGGGAACUACGGUCGCAAGACUAAAACUCAAAGGAAUUGACGGGGACCCGCACAAGCGGUGGAGCAUGUGGUUUAAUUCGACUCUAAGCGAGGAACCUUACCAGGGCUUGAUAUCCUGGGAAUCCCACUUAAUAGUGGGAGUGCCGCAGGGAGCUCAGUGACAGGUAUUGCAUGGCUGUCGUCAGCUCGUGUCGUGAGAUGUCAGGUUAAGUCCUUCAACGAGCGCAACCCUUGUCUUGUGUUAUAUUUUUCACAAGAGACUGCCGAUGAUAAAUCGGAGGAAGGAGAGGAUGACGUCAAGUCCGCAUUGUCCUACGCCCUGGGCAACACACAUGCUACAAUGGGAAAGUACAGAGGGUCGCAAAACCGUAAGGUGAAGCUAAUCCUCAAAACUUCUCCCAGUUCGGAUUGAGGUCUGCAACUCGACCUCAUGAAGUCGGAAUCGCUAGUAACCGUGAAUCAGAUACGUCACGGUGAAUACGUUCUCGGGUCUUGG
rnacentral:rRNA from 1 species